UGGGGAAUAUUGGACAAUGGGGGAAACCCUGAUCCAGCAAUGCCGCGUGAGUGAAGAAGGCCUUAGGGUUGUAAAGCUCUUUCGCCCGCGAAGAUAAUGACGGUAGCGGGAGAAGAAGCCCCGGCUAACUCCGUGCCAGCAGCCGCGGUAAUACGGAGGGGGCUAGCGUUGUUCGGAAUUACUGGGCGAAAAGCGUACGUAGGCGGAUGCGCAAGUUGGGGGUGAAAUCCCGGGGCUUAACCUCGGAAUUGCCCUCAAAACUGCACGUCUUGAGACCGAGAGAGGUAAGGGGAAUUCCUAGUGUAGAGGUGAAAUUCGUAGAUAUUAGGAAGAACACCAGUGGCGAAGGCGCCUUACUGGCUCGGUACUGACGCUGAGGUACGAAAGCGUGGGGAGCAAAC
rnacentral:rRNA from 1 species